rnacentral:sRNA from 1 species
AGAAAAGAGGCAGGGAGAUUAAAUUCUUGUCGUUUCGCGGUUAAAGUCUUGGGAGGAUUAGGUCUUAGGCGCGCUCGUUCGCAGCCCCGGUAACGGUUGAAGAUCACGCGAUAACUUCAAAAACAAGGCUUUGGCCUUGUUUUUUUUU